rnacentral:rRNA from 1 species
CCUACGGGGUGCAGCAGUGGGGAAUAUUGGACAAUGGGCGAAAGCCUGAUCCAGCCAUGCCGCGUGUGUGAAGAAGGCCUUCGGGUUGUAAAGCACUUUCAGUGGGGAAGAAAGCCUUGGGGCUAAUACCCUCGAGGAAGGACAUCACCCACAGCAGAAGCACCGGCUAACUCCGUGCCAGCAGCCGCGGUAAUACGGAGGGUGCGAGCGUUAAUCGGCAUUACUGGGCGUAAAGCGCGCGUAGGCGGUCUGAUAAGCCGGUUGUGAAAGCCCCGGGCUCAACCUGGGAACGGCAUCCGGAACUGUCAGGCUAGAGUGCAGGAGAGGAAGGUAGAAUUCCCGGUGUAGCGGUGAAAUGCGUAGAGAUCGGGAGGAAUAACAGUGGCGAAGGCGGCCUUCUGGACUGACACUGACGCUGAGGUGCGAAAGCGUGGGUAGCAAACAGGAUUAGAUACCCGAGUAGUC